CUUCUGCAACUCCUUUAUUUGAUCCUUUAUUUUUGCAACCUUUUUAAUGAAAGGUCAUCGCUUCCUUUCACAAUAAUAUUGGAGGAUUAUUUUCCUUUUUUUAUUUUCAUCAUUUUCCCCUCCCUAAUCUCUCAACUCUUCUCAUUGAAUCAAUGUUUUAACUUAAAAGCUUUUAUAAGUUUUGUCAAUAUUUUUUUACAGUUGCAGUGUGAUUUGCUAGAAUUGCGGGAUGCUCAUGCUAAAUUAAGGACAACCAAUGAAAAGUUGAGGCGUGAAAAAGAAAGAUUUGAUCAAGAGAAAGAAACCUUACGCAAAAUCAAGUCAUCAUUAUUAGAGGAUCCCAAACUGUCCAGAAUCCUUGACUUGUGCAAUGAGCUAACAGCCAUGAUACCAGAACUCACCGGAAAACCAAAUACUACAAUCGGCCUUGUCACACCGCCGGUCAGGAGAAAGGUACGAACUCAUUCACAAACAUAAAUAAAGAAUUUUUUUCCUUCCAUUUUAUUUUUUUACCAUGGAAGACAAGCGUUUCAUCGAUUUAAAGAAAAACCUUUCUAUAAAAGUUUGUAACUUCUAACUUAGUUCUUUUUUUCUUUCACGGUUAGUUUUGUUUUUUGAUGCUAUCUCAUAUCUUGGUUUUUGCUGCUGAGCCAUCAGACUUCAUCAUCAGCUGGGUAGUGAAUAUCCACCUCAGCAUUCCUGACGCAUGAGCCGUAUUGCAAAGUCGUGAAGCUGGUGGAUAGGCCUUCGAACACAAUUUGAGAAUUGGUCCCGCAUGAAUUACACACACCCAUCAACAUUGAACGCUUUCGAUGUUACUCAGAUAUUUUUCCGGGAAAAAUUUAACAAAAAUUACCUCUUUAGUGUUCAUAACAGUAAAGAGCCUGUUUACUGAUAAUGUUUAAUUAUUCUUUACUGUUCAUCUGCAUUUCUCAAAACAUUUUUCAAAAUUUUCUGUGCUCAAAUUCAAGGAAGAGAAUGAUAGUGGUAAUGUGGCUCUCCUGAGCAUUCCUAUGAAUCUCUUUCAAAAUAAAGACUUCAAGUAAAGCCGAGAGUUUAAAAAAUCCAGAGCAUGAGUAUUUUUCUUAGCAUUGACAGCUUUGGAAGAAAGAUGACCCUUGUAAAUCCUACUAGAUUCUUCCUUAAUUGAUUAUAAUUGUUUUUCAUUUUUUCCAGGGUCCAAAGUCACGUGAAUCUUCGCCUUCUCUUGAAAAAGCAGUCAGCAGUCGAGGUAUGAUUACAAAGUUUAUUGAGCUUCGGUCCGAUUAUUGAAUCUAUGUUAAUAUGACUGUUCUUAUGAUGUCAGUUGUUUUUUUCUUUAAUGGUCUUCCAUCAAAUACUUUUCACUCAAGAUAGCCGAGGGAUUAUCUUCAAAUUUUUGAGUCGAAAUCGAUGAAUCUAUUAUUCAGUAUCUGCAAGGACCGAGGUGAUACUUUGGUGGGGUUUCUAAUUUGUUCCAGUGUUUUGUUUACUUUUAUUCUAUUUUAUUUAUCUUAAUUACCAUAAUAUGGAAUUCAGAUGUUAGUUUCCUGAAUUUCAAGAACUUAAAGAGAAGAGUCAUAAUAUUUAUUAAAAUGGCUAUUAUGAGAGCUUGCUCAAUGUGUGCUGCGAUGAAAAUCCAAUUUCUUUUUGUCAAAGAGCAGAUAUUAGGAAGAAAGUGAAAAGAUAAUUCGUCGCUCACCAGAUGCCUGCACCAUUGCAUUGGUAAUGUUCCCAUAAUCUCUGAAAUGGACACUUUCUAUUUUUUAGAAUCAUCCAUGGCACGCGAUGAUCCAAGGGUUUCACGGAUGCAAGCUAUAAUGCAUCAACUAUCAGAAAUUACUCACGAUCUACGAAGAUCUCAAAGAAUGAGUGAAGACGACAAAAGAGCACUUUUCAGUCGAAGGUAACAGUUGAUUUGUGUAAAACUGUGAUGGGAAAAGUAUGCCUAACGAGACUUCCUCAUCCAGAAUGUUUUGUAAUUCUCAUAUUUUACCAGUUAAUUUUCUUUACUCAAUUUCGAGUUGUCAAGAUUUUUAUUUAAAAAGAAUUUUAUUUUUGCCAAAAGCAGAAGUUAACAAAAUUAAGAUCAGUGCCACUUUGGUUGUAACAACAUUAUAAUGUAGCUUCAGUGCUUACAGCAUGAAGGAAUGCGUAGAAAGAAACAAGGAGUAUGCAUUUCUUUAUUUUCUCGAAAUUUUUUUGUCUUUGUAAGUCUUACAAGAGCUUUUCAGGGAAAUUUACUUUCUUUGUCUUUCUUUAUUUGAUCUUUCUGUUUUUUACUCAGAAGAAUCUCAACGCAACCUUUCUGGGAAACUCUAUUUUUCCCCUUAAACGAAUCUAAUUUAAACUUUAUACCUGUUAAUGAACUCCUGGCCUCUUUAAUUUAUUUUUGCUGAGUACCUUCUGGAGGUUUUUUUUUUUUUUAUGUAUAUCAGUUGAUGAAGUUUCUUGUUUCAAAAUUCUGAACUAUUUUUUGUGAGCGCUGCAGUAGUGUCGUUUGCCUGCCGUCAUACUCACCUUCCUUUUUAUCUGUUAAUUUUUAGAUCUGCAUCAACUGAGUCAGAAAAUCCCACAGAGCCACCUUCCUACCGUAAGGGAGUCCAGAGACGAAGCAGUCUCUAUCGCAAAAGUCUUUCUCUGGAACAGACAUCUCAGUCUGUUAUGGCAGCAGAUGAAGUAAGAGUAAUCAAAAUUAUCUCUCAGAUUCUAUUGACAAUAUUUCAUGUGCGAGUAAUUCACUAUUUUACUCUAAAUAUCUAUGUUCUGCCUCAAUCUUGCUCAAUUUUCACCUUCACGAAUUUCGCAUUCCUACAGACCCUAGAGGGUUAAUGCUCUGGGCUGGCAAAGGCAUUCAAGACUCUGAUCAAGACUUUGGAAAAGAUGCACUGGCUGUCAUAGUGUCAUAUCGACAGUGAAACGACCAUAUCCUAUAUCUUGGUUUGCGGCGUUACAUAAUUCCUGUCAUACUUUAUUUUUUAAAUGAAAAAAUACUCAUCGUCUAUUUUUUAAACCCUGUGUGACUUUCCUUCCAUGUGUCAAGAAAACUCUGUGAAAACUUCAAGGAAUGAUAUUGGUUUGUCCUUAAAAAAAUAAAGUAAAAUGAGAACGGAGAUUUUUAAACACUGCAGAGGAGAUACAUGGUCUGGUAGUUUCACUGUAGAUAUGGAUCCUUCUCAUGGAAAGUUCUUCAAUUCAAAAACCUCAAUCAAUCUCACCAAUAGCUCUAUUUCGCCAAUGGCGAAUACAGUUUUGUGACUUGCAAUUGAGAUCUCAUUCUACCCUAGUAGCAGUGGCUGUUGAGAAAAGUUGUAAAAAACUCAUAAAUUUUAAGAGAUCUCUUAUUUACUUUAAAACCACUUGAAAAUUACGUAAAAAAACUCCUGAAAUAUUCGUAUAAGGAAACCCUUUUUGGAGCUUUUUUUACAUAAAUUUGAAGAAAAAAUUUAAGUAAAUUUAAGUAAAGUUUUUAUGUAAAUUUUAAGUAAAAUCUACGUAUUUUUAUUUUAGCUUCCUGCGGGCAAAAAUGAGGAAAAAAGUGGUGAAUAGAAAAGUAUAAAAGGAACAGUUGCAGCCCAUAAAAAUUGAGGAUAUAGUUUUUUUAUUUUUUCGUAAAUUUUACGUUUUCUUUUAAUUAAAAUAACACUAUUUUUUUACUUAAAAGAAUUCCUCAAAAGGGUUUCCUAAAACGAGUAUUUUAAGAGUUUUUUUACUUAAAAAUUUACAAACUCUUAAAAUUUACAAGUUUUUUACAUUUUUUUGGACAACUUUUUGUAGAACUUUUUUUAAGAGCCAUUGCAACUAGGGCAGCUUUAUCAUGAGGUUUCAAUCUUAAACUCUCAGGAAAUUCGAACCAAUUUCUUACUGCCCAUCGUAAAUCUAAAUUUUAAAGUAUGCUGAAAAAUAUU
rnacentral:lncRNA from 1 species